AGAGUUUGAUUAUGGCUCAGGAUGAACGCUAGCUACAGGCUUAACACAUGCAAGUCGAGGGGCAGCAUUGGAGUAGCAAUACUCAGAUGGCGACCGGCGCACGGGUGAGUAACACGUAUCCAACCUGCCGCUUACUCGGGGAUAGCCUUUCGAAAGAAAGAUUAAUACCCGAUGGUAUAAAGAGUUCGCAUGUUCUCUUUAUUAAAGAAUUUCGGUAAGCGAUGGGGAUGCGUUCCAUUAGAUUGUUGGCGGGGUAACGGCCCACCAAGUCUACGAUGGAUAGGGGUUCUGAGAGGAAGGUCCCCCACAUUGGAACUGAGACACGGUCCAAACUCCUACGGGAGGCAGCAGUGAGGAAUAUUGGUCAAUGGACGAGAGUCUGAACCAGCCAAAAGUAGCGUGAAGGAUGACUGCCCUAUGGGUUGUAAACUUUUUAUAAGGGAAUAAAGUGAGGGACGUGUCCCUUUUUGUAUGUACCUUAUGAAUAAGGAUCGGCUAACUCCGUGCCAGCAGCGGC
rnacentral:rRNA from 1 species